rnacentral:rRNA from 1 species
UACAGAGGGUGCGAGCGUUGUCCGGAAUCACUGGGCGUAAAGGGCGCGUAGGCGGCCUGAUAAGUAGGGGGUGAAAUCCUGUGGCUUAACUGCAGGGCUGCCUCCUAGACUGUUAGGCUCGAGCACGGUAGAGGCAGAUGGAAUUCCCGGUGUAGCGGUGGAAUGCGUAGAGAUCGGGAAGAACAUCGGUGGCGAAGGCGGUCUGCUGGGGCCAACACUGACGCUCAUGCACGAAAGCGUGGGGAGCAAACAGG